rnacentral:rRNA from 1 species
AUAUCAGUCAUGCAUAGCAUAUCAAUAAGCGGAGGAAAAGAAACUAACAAGGAUUCCCUUAGUAACGGCGAGUGAAGCGGGAAGAGCUCAAAUUUGAAAUCUACAAGGUUCUACCUUGACGAAUUGUAGUUUAUAGAAGUGUUUUCUGUUAGUGGAGUGGCAAAAGUUCUUUGGAAUAGGACAUCAUAGAGGGUGAGAAUCCCGUAUUUGGUCAUUCCUCCUAGCGUUGUGAUACACUUUCAACGAGUCGGAUUGUUUGGGAAUGCAGUCCAAAAUGGGUGGUAAAUUUCAUCUAAAGCUAAAUAUUGGCGAGAGACCGAUAGCGAACAAGUACCGUGAGGGAAAGAUGAAAAGAACUUUGAAAAGAGAGUUAAACAGUACGAGAAAUUGUCAAAAGGGAAGCGUUUGACACCAGUGUUGUUUUUCCGAAAAUCAAUUACGAAUGUUUUGUUUUUAAGAAGUUAUGACUUCAUCGGCUUGCUUCUUUCUUUACUGAAACUUUCUUAAUGCACUUUUCGGUUAACAAGUCAACAUCAAUUUCUUUUGUUGUAAAAGGGUAUGAGGAAGGUGGCUUUCUUUUCGGAGAAAGUGUUUAUAGCCUUGUGCCUCUGCAAUCGGAGAGAUUGAGGUCUGCAGCGUAGAUCCUUCGGGGUUAGAUACAUUUGUGCUAAGUUAUAGCCUUUCAUAGACAACUUGUUGACUAUGAUUAGUCAUUGUAGCUUACUCGCUUACUGCUAUUUUACCUACGCUUAGGAUGUUGAUCUCUCACAGUCGAGC